rnacentral:rRNA from 1 species
GAUGAACGCUGGCGGCGUGCCUAAUACAUGCAAGUCGAGCGAACAGAUGAGGAGCUUGCUCCUCUGACGUUAGCGGCGGACGGGUGAGUAACACGUGGAUAACCUACCUAUAAGACUGGGAUAACUUCGGGAAACCGGAGCUAAUACCGGAUAAUAUAUUGAACCGCAUGGUUCAAUAGUGAAAGACGGUUUUGCUGUCACUUAUAGAUGGAUCCGCGCCGCAUUAGCUAGUUGGUAAGGUAACGGCUUACCAAGGCAACGAUGCGUAGCCGACCUGAGAGGGUGAUAGGCCACACUGGAACUGAGACACGGUCCAGAGUCCUACGGGAGGCAGCAGUAGGGAAUCUUCCGCAAUGGGCGAAAGCCUGACGGAGCAACGCCGCGUGAGUGAUGAAGGUCUUCGGAUCGUAAAACUCUGUUAUUAGGGAAGAACAAAUGUGUAAGUAACUAUGCACGUCUUGACGGUACCUAAUCAGAAAGCCACGGCUAACUACGUG